GACGAACGCUGGCGGCGUGCUUAACACAUGCAAGUCGAACGAAGUGGCGAACGGGUGAGUAACGCGUAAUCAACCUGCCCUUCAGAGGUGGACAACCGUUGGAAACGACUGCUAAUACCGCAUACUGAAGGAGGAGAUUCCGUCUGGUUGGCUCGUGGGGGGGGUAACGGCCACCCAAGGCGAUGAUCAGUAUCCGGUCUGAGGGGGUGAAGGGCCACACUGGGACGGGGAAACGGCCCAGGAUCCUACGGGAGGGAGCAGUGGGGAAUCUUCCGCAAUGGACGAAAGUCUGAAGGAGCAACGCCGCGGGAGUGAUGACGGCCUUCGGGUUGUAAAGCUCUGUUAAUCGGGACGCGGUACCGGAAUAGAAAGCCACGGCUAACUACGUGCCAGCAGCCGCGGUAAUUC
rnacentral:rRNA from 1 species